AUCAUAUUUAGCAAUAAAAGCUGGUGGAAAGAGGAAGGACGGAGAGGCAUUUGGACUGAUGGCAUUUGUCUUUUCAAGAAACCAUUACAUGUGAAAAAAACAGAAUUUUGCUGGAAGUGAAGCAGAAGUGACUAUGAAAAAAGAAGAAAGUUAAUGGGAUUCACUUUGACUGCCUUUUGUAUUUCUUAACGAUAUAUACCACACAAACUGUACAGAAACUUAAAGAGAUUAUUAAAAUAAUUACAGGUUAUCUCGGGUGGGGUAAGGAGCGUGAGAGAGAGGAGAGGAAAAACAAUGAUAACAAAGACCGUGAAACAAAGACAACAAAAAAGAAGGAAACACAGCAGGGGAGUACGGUUGCCUUACAUGGAGGUUUAAUGCCAGUUCAAUACCAAAAUCUCUAUUAACAUAACAACUAAACCCAUAUCAUCAGCUGCCUUUCAGCUAUAACUAAGCAGACUCCCCGCUCCAAGGCUCAUCUAUCACCUCUCCUCAUACUGAUGUAAAGAAAGAUUUCCAAGAUACCCAUGACUUUAAAUUUUUAUGUUGGGUGUGAAAAAAGCAACAUGAAGCUCUGAAGGAUACAGCUUGCUAAAGAGUGUUAAGUGUUCCUUUGCAAGAUAUUUUCCUGCUCUUUUAGAAACAAGAUUCACAAGCAUUCUCUGGGACUUGAGCUGUUUAACUUCAUCAACCAGUUAAAGACUGGGUCCCCAAGUUUGUCUGUAAAGGCAGGAACAGUUACAGAGAAAGUGACAGCAGAAGAAAUGCUUCCACCAGAAGGAGGCUGUUUUGGUUACAACUCUGCAUUCCAGAAACGAACUCUUUGAAGCAGUUAUGUAAAACUGAAUGGUGUAAAAAAGGUGACUGUGAAUCAAUUCUGUACUGUCUUUUCCAUAGAUUGGUAGUUCAGAAUAAGUGAAGGCGAUUAUUUAUGCAGAGGAAUUUGGUGCUACAGGGAACAGGAGACAAGACAUAUUGACUGUCAGCCAAUGCUGAAGACAGCAAACAGCAUUGAAUUUUUGGAUGGAUUUUCAAUAUAGCUUAUUAUAGCAGUUAUUAUGACCAUAUAGGUAGGUUUGCUACCUCCAAAAUACCAUGAAACUGUGAGCACUGAAUAUGACCUUCUUUCUUUUAAUUGUGAUACAUAGUAAUUAUACAUCCAUCGUAAAUAUGACCAGGCCGUACGUAACAUUGCUUAAUUCUAUAUUGAUUUGGUUCAGUUGCAGCACUCAAUUUUUGCAAGCUGUAUGUACAUUAGGAGUACCCUAAUCACAUGUGAAAAGCCUUUGCACAACACUGCUGUACCUUCUUGGGUUAGGUUCCUGUCUUGAUUUACUGGUAAUAGCCUGAACAGCUUCCUGUGCAUCCUUACUGACAUGUCAGUCAGGCUGCUCUCUGGUCUCCAUUCACUGCACUGGCAUGUGAAGAAAUUAUGUGAGUAUGUGAGGAAUGCCAUAGAUCAGACAGGAGACCUGGCAUCCUGUAGGAGCAUCUGAAAUCCAAAAUUAUCUCAGAUGACACUAUAUACCAAUUUAUAGAAUACUGUGCCUCUCCUUUCAUACAAAUAUUGUACUGACUAUGGUGAGAGUUUAGACAGGUAGGCAGUUGAUCUUGAGUUAAAUUCUCAGCUAAGUCUUUGGUACAGUGCAUGAAACUUCUAUAAAAAUUUCAAAAAAAUUUAUUUCUUUUUCUGGAGUGCUUUGAAUUAUUGGUUGAGCCCUGUUUGUUUUUGUGCCAACAUCUCUUUCCCCGCAGAUCAUAUAUACUCUGGUCUACUUGUUUUUCAUUCUGUUGCUUGAAUAAGUAUUGAGCUAUGGUUGUGAGAAUGAACAUUUAUGAUUGGGGGUGAGAAGGUAAAAGCACCAGGAAUGAAGAAAGAGAGAGACAGAUAUCUGAUGCAUUUUCAUCAUACAUCCUCCUUUCUCUCAGUGUACUCUAUCUUACCUUUGUGAAGUGCUUGCCAGAAGGACUCCAGUUUUAAUGGUCUUUAAGGCAUCUGGGUGUGUACCCAGGACACAUGGGAACUUAAGGUGAUUCGUGAAUCCAGGAAUAAGUGACAGGCCUAGGUUAUUUGAGCACACUGUGACAGGACAAGAGUUGAAGAUUGCCUGACCCAACCUGGAGCUCUAACCACUUCUUUAUUCUUCCUUG
ensembl:lncRNA